rnacentral:rRNA from 1 species
GAUGAACGCUGGCGGCAUGCCUAACACAUGCAAGUUGAACGAGAAGUUCCGGAACAAGUCUUCGGACAAGGGAAGGGAUGGGAAGUAGCGAACGGGUGAGUAACGCGUGGGCAACCAACCUUACACUGGGGGAUAACACAGAGAAAUUUGUGCUAAUACCGCACAAGCGCACAGUACCGCAUGGUACGGUGUGAAAAACUCCGGUGGUGUAAGACGGGCCCGCGUCUGAUUAGUUAGUUGGUGAGGUAAAAGCUUACCAAGGCGACGAUCAGUAGCCGACCUGAGAGGGUGAUCGGCCACAUUGGGACUGAGACACGGCCCAAACUCCUACGGGAGGCAGCAGUGGUGGAUAUUGCACAAUGGAGGGAACUCUGAUGCAGCAAUGCCGCGUGAAGGAAGAAGGUUUUCGGAUUGUAAACUUCUAUCAGCAGGGAAGAAAAUGACGGUACCUGACUAAGAAGCCCCGGCUAACUAUGUGCCAGCAGCCGCGGUAAUACAUAGGGGGCAAGCGUUAUCCGGAAUGACUGGGUGUAAAGGGUGCGUAGGCGGUAAGGUAAGUCUGAUGUGAAAGACUGGGGCUCAACUCCAGGGGUGCAUUGGAAACUAUGUUACUAGAGUACAGGAGAGGGAAGCGGAAUUCCUAGUGUAGCGGUGAAAUGCGUAGAUAUGGGGAGGAACACCGGUGGCGAAGGCGGCUUUCUGGACUGAAACUGACGCUGAGGCACGAGAGCGUGGGGAGCAAACAGGAUUAGAUACCCUGGUAGUCCACGCUGUAAACGAUGAGUGCUAGGUGCUGGCCUAUAGAGGGUCGGUGCCGAAGUUAACGCAAUAAGCACUCCACCUGGGGAGUACGGCCGCAAGGCUGGAACUCAAAGGAAUGACGGGGGCCGCACAAGCGGUGGGAGCAUGUGG